CUUACGGAUUAUUGGGCGUAAGCGCGCGUAGGCGGUUUUUUAAGUCUGAUGUGUAAAUGCCCACGGCUCAACCGUGGAGGGUCAUUGGAAACUGGAAAACUUGAGUGCAGAAGAGGAAAGUGGAAUUCCAUGUGUAGCGGUGAAAUGCGCAGAGAUAUGGAGGAACACCAGUGGCGAAGGCGACUUUCUGGUCUGUAACUGACGCUGAUGUGCGAAAGCAUGC
rnacentral:rRNA from 1 species